rnacentral:rRNA from 1 species
UGGGGGAUAUUGCACAAUGGGCGAAAGCCUGAUGCAGCGACGCCGCGUGGGGGAUGAAGGCCUUCGGGUUGUAAACUUCUUUUGCUCUGAACAAGGCGCACCAUGGGGUGUGUUGAGUGUAGGGGUUGAUUAGCGCCGGCUAACUACGUGCCAGCAGCCGCGGUAAUACGUAGGGCGCGAGCGUUGUCCGGAAUUAUUGGGCGUAAAGGGCUUGUAGGUGGCUGGUUGCGUCUGUCGUGAAAGCUCAUGGCUUAACUGUGGGUUUGCGGUGGGUACGGGCUGGCUUGAGUGCAGUAGGGGAGGCUGGAAUUCCUGGUGUAGCGGUGGACUGCGCAGAUAUCAGGAGGAAUACCGGUGGCGAAGGCGGGUCUCUGGGCUGUUACUGACACUGAGGAGCGAAAGCAUGGGGAGCGAACAGG